GACGAACGCUGGCGGCGUGCUUGACACAUGCAAGUCGAACGAUGAUGCCCAGCUUGCUGGGUGGAUUAGUGGCGAACGGGUGAGUAACACGUGAGUAACCUGCCCCUGACUCUGGGAUAAGCGUUGGAAACGACGUCUAAUACUGGAUAUGAUCACUGGCCGCAUGGUCUGGUGGUGGAAAGAUUUUUUGGUUGGGGAUGGACUCGCGGCCUAUCAGCUUGUUGGUGAGGUAAUGGCUCACCAAGGCGACGACGGGUAGCCGGCCUGAGAGGGUGACCGGCCACACUGGGACUGAGACACGGCCCAGACUCCUACGGGAGGCAGCAGUGGGGAAUAUUGCACAAUGGGCGAAAGCCUGAUGCAGCAACGCCGCGUGAGGGAUGACGGCCUUCGGGUUGUAAACCUCUUUUAGUAGGGAAGAAGCGAAAGUGACGGUACCUGCAGAAAAAGCACCGGCUAACUACGUGCCAGCAGCCGCGGUAAGAC
rnacentral:rRNA from 1 species